GAUGAACGCUAGCGGCAGGCCUAACACAUGCAAGUCGAGGGGUAGCAGGAUUAAGCUUGCUUAAUUGCCGACGACCGGCGCACGGGUGCGUAACGCGUAUGCAACCUACCUUAUACUGGGGUAUAGCCCGGAGAAAUUCGGAUUAAUCCCCCAUAGUACUAAUGAAUCGCAUGGUUUAUUAGUUAAAGCAUUGCGGUAUAAGAUGGGCAUGCGUCCUAUUAGCUAGAUGGUGAGGUAACGGCUCACCAUGGCUACGAUAGGUAGGGGGCCUGGGAGGGUGGUCCCCCACACUGGUACUGGGACACGGACCAGACUCCUACGGGAGGCAGCAGUGAGGAAUAUUGGUCAAUGGGCGCAAGCCUGAACCAGCCAUGCCGCGUGCAGGUAGAAUGCCCUAUGGGUUGUAAACUGCUUUUAUUUGGGAAUAAACCUCUUUACGUGUAGAGAGCUGAAGGUACCAAAUGAAUAAGCACCGGCUAACUCCGUGCCAGCAGCCGCAGUAA
rnacentral:rRNA from 1 species